CACAAUAAACCGACAGAAGAAGAGGCAGCGGAAGGAAGGGAAAAAAAGGAGGAAACGGUUGUUCGUGAGUGUUUACAUUGUUCACAGACGAUUUUCUAAACUCGUUUGUUUUCAACAUGGAGGACCACAACUACUAUAUGUUAGUGGAGAAAACGCCGUCGCCCGAACUUUUGUACGAGCGAAGGAAGAAGCGUCUGGAAGGUCAGCGUGUGCGAGACAGCCGACGUCAGAGGGUGAACCUCGGCGCUGCUUUCCCCCGAUGGAGGUCCUUCAUGAAGGAGGGAGGCUUCCAGAAUGACGCCGAGGUGGCCUGUUUUCUGCUGGACAGACAGCAAGUGAUCGUAACGCAACAUUCGGAGCGUGUCAAGAUCAGGGGAGCAGCUACGAGAUGGAUUCAGGGAACCUCGUAAAUUACGUUUGCAUCCUUGGUUUUUUUUCCCACAGUCAAAUCGCAGUCACAGCUUCUUUAGGAAACGAUGUCACAACGAUUCCUGCCUCCGCCUGAGAAAAAAAGCCAUGAACCUGCAAAACACGGAUCCUGAGUGCAGGGACAUGUGGGAGACAGCCAGUGAAGACAGCAGCUCUGACGACGACUGCGUCGCGUCCAUUUGUCUCAGACUCAGCAAUCGUCCUGAAGACGACGAAGAAGAAGAA